GAUGAACGCUGACGGCGUGCUUAACACAUGCAAGUCGAACGAUGAACCGGGUGCUUGCACUCGGGGAUUAGUGGCGAACGGGUGAGUAACACGUGAGCAACCUGCCCCUGACUCUGGGAUAAGCGCUGGAAACGGCGUCUAAUACUGGAUAUGUCACGCCACCGCAUGGUGUGCGGGUGGAAAGAGUAUUCGGUUGGGGAUGGGCUCGCGGCCUAUCAGCUUGUUGGUGAGGUAAUGGCUCACCAAGGCGUCGACGGGUAGCGGGCCUGAGAGGGUGACCGGACACACUGGGACUGAGACACGGCCCAGACUCCUACGGGAGGCAGCAGUGGGGAAUAUUGCACAAUGGGCGGAAGCCUGAUGCAGCAACGCCGCGUGAGGGAUGACGGCCUUCGGGUUGUAAACCUCUUUUAGCAGGGAAGAAGCGAGAGUGACGGUACCUGCAGAAAAAGCACCGGCUAACUACGUGCCAGCCGCCGCGGUAA
rnacentral:rRNA from 1 species